rnacentral:lncRNA from 1 species
CUGUGUUUAUCAGGAGCUACUCAUCUUCCCCAUCACAUGCCUACUCAUGGGAUGCCCACAUCGCCAGGCCAAGGACAGAUACUUAGCAAAAAAUGGAAGGUCCUCAGAAGCACACAUUCUAAAUAGAACACUAGAAAGAAAAAUGGAAGAAGAGGGCUCUCUACAUUCCUCCUAAUUUGUUUGGAAGCUCCUUUUUAGGCCCUAGUUAUGGGAAAUGCAUCUGUGAUGCUUGCUAACAACACCCAGUUGCACACAGGGAAACAGUCUUCCCUGCACUCUCUACUCUCUUAGACCUUCCUCUUCAAAUAAUCUGGAGAAAACUCCUUGUGGUAAGACAUUAACACCAUCAGUAAAGACUUUGUAUGUUUCUGUCUUUUUCUUCCAUGCACAUAACUAAAGCUUGAACAUCCCCAUGAGCAAAGCUGUAUCAUACAACAGUCCCUCUGUAAGGUUCUGCAAAGCCUUCCAUGGUUUAAACAAGCCCUAAACACAAAGCCUGCCUGUCUUUCUUUCUCUGGCCUGAUUAUUUGGGGUGUGUGUGUGGUGGCCAUGUUGAAGUCUUGGAUUAUCCACGCCUGUUGACUGAUCCAUCAUUCUCUGACUAGGUGUCUGUUCUCUAUUCCUUUUUGCUGAUCACAGAGGCGCAGCCCGGUAAGAACUCUCAACAUUUUACCUUAAACAUGUAUAGAGAAAAUUGCUGCCAAGGCAAGGUGGC